GAUGAAAGAGGGAGGAGGGGAGAAUACAUGCAAGUCGAGCGAACAGAUGAGGAGCUUGCUCCUCUGACGUUAGCGGCGGACGGGUGAGUAACACGUGGAUAACCUACCUAUAAGACUGGGAUAACUUCGGGAAACCGGAGCUAAUACCGGAUAAUAUAUUGAACCGCAUGGUUCAAUAGUGAAAGACGGUUUUGCUGUCACUUAUAGAUGGAUCCGCGCCGCAUUAGCUAGUUGGUAAGGUAACGGCUUACCAAGGCAACGAUGCGUAGCCGACCUGAGAGGGUGAUCGGCCACACUGGAACUGAGACACGGUCCAGACUCCUACGGGAGGCAGCAGUAGGGAAUCUUCCGCAAUGGGCGAAAGCCUGACGGAGCAACGCCGCGUGAGUGAUGAAGGUCUUCGGAUCGUAAAACUCUGUUAUUAGGGAAGAACAAAUGUGUAAGUAACUAUGCACGUCUUGACGGUACCUAAUCAGAAAGCCACGGCUAACUACGUC
rnacentral:rRNA from 1 species